rnacentral:rRNA from 1 species
AUACAGAGGGUGCAAGCGUUAAUCGGAAUUACUGGGCGUAAAGCGCGCGUAGGCGGUUUGUUAAGUUGGAUGUGAAAGUCCCGGGCUUAACCUGGGAGGGUCAUUCAAAACUGGCAGACUAGAGUGUGGUAGAGGGUAGUGGAAUUCCUAGUGUAGCGGUGAAAUGCGUAGAGAUUAGGAGGAACACCAGUGGCGAAGGCGACUGCCUGGACCAACACUGACGCUGAGGUGCGAAAGCGUGGGUAGCGAACAGGAUUAGAAACCCUAGUAGUCC